UACGAAGGGGCUAGCGUUGUUCGGAAUUACUGGGCGUAAAGGGCGCGUAGGCGGUGUGUCAAGUCAGGCGUGAAAGCCCCGGGCUCAACCUGGGAACCGCGCUUGAGACUGGCACGCUAGAGUUCGGGAGAGGAUGGUGGAAUUCCCAGUGAUAGAGGUGAAAUUUCGUAGAUAUUGGGAAGAACACCGAUGGCGAAGGCAGCCAUCUGGACCGACACUGACGCUGAGGCGCGGAAAGCG
rnacentral:rRNA from 1 species